AGCAGCCGCGGUAAUUCCAGCUCCAAUAGCGUAUAUUAAAGUUGUUGCAGUUAAAAAGCUCGUAGUUGAAUUUCGGGAUCAAAUUGUCGGUCGUGCCUCGGUACGCACUGGUAUUAUUGGUUCCUACCUUCUGAAGAACCGCGAUGUCAUUAAUUUGGUGUCGUGGGGAAUCAGGACUGUUACUUUGAAAAAAUUAGAGUGUUUAAAGCAGGCUUACGCUUGAAUACAUUAGCAUGGAAUAAUGAAAUAGGACGUUUGAUUCUAUUUUGUUGGUUUCUAGGAUUGACGUAAUGAUUAAUAGGGAUAGUUGGGGGCAUUAGUAUUCAAUUGUCAGAGGUGAAAUUCUUGGAUUUAUUGAAGACUAACUACUGCGAAAGCAUUUGCCAAGGAUGUUUUCAUUAAUCAAGAACGAGAGUUAGGGGAUCGAAGACGAUCAGAUACCGUCGUAGUCUUAACCAUAAACUAUGCCGACUAGGGAUCGGAUGAUGUUAAUUUUUAAUGUACUCAUUCGGCGCCUUAC
rnacentral:rRNA from 1 species